GACGAACGCUGGCGACGUGCUUAACACAUGCAAGUCGAACGGAAAGGCCCUGCUUUUGUGGGGUGCUCGAGUGGCGAACGGGUGAGUAACAGUUAGUUACCCUUCCCUUGCCUUUGGGAUAACUUCAGGAAACUGGGGCUAAUACCGGAUAGUACCUCCUGCUGCUUGUUGGGGGUUGGAAAUUUUCGGCGGUUGGGGUUGGACUCGCGGCUUAUCAGCUUGUUGGUGGGGUAGUGGCUUACCAAGGCUUUGACGGGUAGCCGGCCUGAGAGGGUGACCGGCCACAUUGGGACUGAGAUACGGCCCAGACUCCUACGGGAGGCAGCAGUGGGGAAUAUUGCACAAUGGGCGGAAGCCUGAUGCAGCAACGCCGCGUGCGGGAUGACGGCCUUCGGGUUGUAAACCGCUUUCGCCUGUGACGAAGCGUGAGUGACGGUAAUGGGUAAAGAAGCACCGGCUAACUACGUG
rnacentral:rRNA from 1 species